rfam:Dothistroma septosporum NZE10 unplaced genomic scaffold DOTSEscaffold_9, whole genome shotgun sequence.
CAUGCAGUACUUCAUAGAAUCAUUUCUAUAGUAAACAUUCACAACUGUAUUCUUGUAAGCGAUCCCGACAACCGAUCAAGCGACAUCCUUUACUGACAACCUCCAAGCACAGAAGCUACAGACUUCAGCCAGGCUGAUGAGCAAUAACCGCGCCGCCCAAGAGUGAUGCCAUUAUGGCGGUCUCCGGACUGCUGGUGAUGAUCUCGCCCUGCUUGAACUUGACUUCGGUUGGUGCUCUCAGGUGGGUGGUGUCGGUCGUCUGACUGGU